AAAGGGAUUGCUUGCAAUCCUGAGUAGAGUGGCGCACGGGUGAGUAACACGUAGAUAACCUGCCUUCAAGCCUGGGAUAACUAUUCGAAAGGAUAGCUAAUACCGGAUAAAGUCGAUUCACAUAAGUAGAUUGAUGAAAGAUUGCCUCUUCUUGAAAGCAAUUGUUUGGGAAUGAGUUUGCGUACCAUUAGCUAGUUGGUGGGGUAAAGGCCUACCAAGGCUACGAUGGUUAGCUGGUCUGAGAGGAUGAUCAGCCACACUGGUAACUGGAACACGGUCCAGACUCCUACGGGAGGCAGCAGUGAGGAAUUUUGCGCAAUGGGGGCAACCCUGACGCANCAACGCCGCGUGAGUGAAGAAGGCCUUUGGGUCGUAAAGCUCUGUCAACAGGGAAGAAAUUAUAAUUGUUUAAUAGAUGAUUGUAUUGACGGUACCUGUGGAGGAAGCGCCGGCUAACUCCGUGCCAGCAGCCGCGGUAACACGGGGGGGCGCAAGCGUUAUUCCGGAAUUAUUGGGCGUAAAGGGCGCGCAGGCGGUCUUGUCCGUCAGGUGUGNAAGCCCGGGGCUCACCCCCGG
rnacentral:rRNA from 1 species